rnacentral:tRNA from 1 species
GGGCCCGUAGCGUAGUCAGGAUAGCGCGACGGCCUUCGGAGCCGUAGGUCCCGGGUUCAAAUCCCGGCGGGCCCA